rnacentral:rRNA from 1 species
UACGAAGGGGGCUAGCGUUGCUCGGAAUUACUGGGCGUAAAGGGCGCGUAGGCGGACAGCUUAGUCAGAGGUGAAAGCCCAGGGCUCAACCUUGGAAUUGCCUUUGAUACUGGCUAUCUUGAGUUCGGGAGAGGUGAGUGGAAUGCCGAGUGUAGAGGUGAAAUUCGUAGAUAUCUGGAGGAACACCGGUGGCGAAGGCGGCAUCCUGGACCGGCAUUGACGCUGAGGAGCGAAAGCCAGGGGAGCAAACGGG